AUCCCAGACUCCUACGGGAGGCAGCAGUGGGGAAUAUUGGCCAAUGGGGGGCCCCCUGAUCCAGCGCCGCCUCGUGAGUUACGACGUAUUUCGGUCUUUCAAGCUCUCUCCUCCGGGAAGAACGCCCUGACGGUACCUUUCUAAGAAGCCCCGUCUAACUACGUGCCCUCAGCCGCGUUCCUCCGUAGGGGUCCCGCGUCAUCCGGAUUUCCUGGGUGUAAAGGGGGCGCAGACGGCGAUGCAAGCCAGGAGGGAAAGCCCGGGGCCAAACCCCGGGACUGCUCUUGGAACUGCGUGGCUAGAGUGCAGGAGGGGCAGGCGGAAUUCCUGGUGUAGCGGUGAAAUGCGUAGAUAGCAGGAGGAACACCGGUGGCGAAGGCGGCCAACUGGGCUUUAACUGACGCUGAGGCUCGAAAGUGUGGGGAGCAAACAGGAUUAGAUACCCCAGUAGU
rnacentral:rRNA from 1 species